rnacentral:rRNA from 1 species
GCGGUACAGGUGUAGCAAUACAUGCUGACGAGCGGCGGACGGGUGAGUAACGCUUGGGAAUCUGCCUGUUAGUGGGGGACAACCCGGGGAAACUCGGGCUAAUACCGCAUACGCACUAAGGUGGAAAGCCGGGGACCGCAAGGCCUGGCGCUAACAGAUGAGCCCAAGUCGGAUUAGCUAGUUGGUGGGGUAAUGGCCUACCAAGGCGACGAUCCGUAACUGGUCUGAGAGGACGACCAGUCACACCGGAACUGAGACACGGUCCGGACUCCUACGGGAGGCAGCAGUGGGGAAUAUUGGACAAUGGGCGAAAGCCUGAUCCAGCGACGCCGCGUGGGUGAAGAAGGCCUGCGGGUUGUAAAGCCCUUUCGGUGGGGAAGAAAAGUUUCGACCUAACACGUCGGGACCUUGACGUAACCCACUAAAGAAGCACCGGCUAACUCUGUGCCAGCAGCCGCGGUAAUACAGAGGGUGCGAGCGUUAAUCGGAAUUACUGGGCGUAAAGCGCGCGUAGGCGGCUUUGCAAGUCGGGUGUGAAAUCCCCAGGCUUAACCUGGGAACUGCACUCGAGACUGCAUCGCUAGAGUAUGGGAGAGGGAAGUGGAAUUUCAGGUGUAGCGGUGAAAUGCGUAGAUAUCUGAAGGAACAUCAGUGGCGAAAGCGACUUCCUGGACCAAUACUGACGCUCGUGUGCGAAAGCGUGGGGAGCAAACAGGAUUAGAUACCCUGGUAGUCCACGCCAUAAACGAUGAGAACUGG